AUGAACGCUGGCGGCGUGCCUCAUCCAUGCAAGUCGCGCGAACGGACGAGAAGCUUGCUUCUCUGAUGUUAGCGGCGGACGGGUGAGUAACACGUGGAUAACCUACCUAUAAGACUGGGAUAACUUCGGGAAACCGGAGCUAAUACCGGAUAAUAUUUUGAACCGCCUGGUUCAAAAGUGAAAGACGGUCUUGCUGUCACUUAUAGAUGGAUCCGCGCUGCAUUAGCUAGUUGGUAAGGUAACGGCUUACCAAGGCAACGAUGCAUAGCCGACCUGAGAGGGUGAUCGGCCACACUGGAACUGAGACACGGUCCAGACUCCUACGGGAGGCAGCAGUAGGGAAUCUUCCGCAAUGGGCGAAAGCCUGACGGAGCAACGCCGCGUGAGUGAUGAAGGUCUUCGGAUCGUAAAACUCUGUUAUUAGGGAAGAACAUAUGUGUAAGUAACUGUGCACAUCUUGACGGUACCUAAUCAGAAAGCCACGGCUAACUACGUG
rnacentral:rRNA from 1 species